UUUUUACUUUAAAAUCUCAAAUUGUCCUUCAUUAAGGACAGGUUUAAAACACAGAUGUAGGAAAAAACCCACUUGAAGUCAGCGUGUUGAAACUUGUUUUUCUGCAGAUCCUGUAGAGAGAAAACAGGGAGAAAAAGGUCUUGGCUUCCCUCACAUGAACAUCUGCUUCUACACUGACCCUAGUCCUUCUUCCCAUGUUUAGGUGAUCAGAUCUCUUUGUUCUUCCCCAGCAGCUGUCCAGCCCUGCAGGUCCUGCUGACAGAGCCAUGUCUUGGUGACUGAUGAAGAAAAUCACUCUUUCCAGUUAACAGCUGAAAAAUUAAAGCUGCAUUAUGGGAACUAAAAAGCAGGUAUUUGCUUCCUGUAGAAUCAAAGGCAAUACACAGGAAGUUCAGUGCUUGAGAAGUUCCUGCUGACAGUACUCAUUAACACUCAAAGACAUUGCACAUGGCAGGGAAAGUAAGUGUCAGAGCCUCCUCAUAAGUGAACUUUUAUUUCCUGGAGUUCCUUGGGAGUUAUUUUUGCAAAUAAUGU